UCGAGAAUCUUGGGCAAUGCGCGAAAGCGUGACCCAGCAAUGCCGCGUGUAUGAUGAAGGUCUUCGGAUCGUAAAAUACUGUCUCCCGUGACGAUAAUGACGGUAGCGGGGAAGGAAGCCACGGCUAACUACGUGCCAGCAGCCGCGGUAAUACGUAGGUGGCGAGCGUUGUUCGGAUUUAUUGGGCGUAAAGGGUCUGUAGGAGGUUUGUUAAAAUUGAGGUGAAAUCCCGGAGCUCAACUUCGGAACUGCCUCGGUGACUGAUAGACUAGAGUGUUGGAGAGGUAAGCGGAAUACCAAGUGUAGCGGUGGAAUGCGUAGAUAUUUGGUAGAACACCAAUGGCGAAGGCAGCUUGCUGGACAAUAACUGACUCUGAAAGACGAAAGCAUGGGGAGCAAACAGG
rnacentral:rRNA from 2 species